AUGCCCUUUAAGUGUGGCUGUGGCUGUACUCCAUGUCCUCUUCACUUGGGGAUGUAGGAGUAGAAAGGGGAUGAUCUCUUUCCUCUUCAUUGUAACGGUCACGGCGAACACCUCUGUAACAAAAGGCAGGUUAACAAAAAAAAGCAUGACAAAUUUAUUGGAGUAUAGCUUUGCAUUGACACAGGAGCCUUCAGAAUGAAGACCCAAAGAUACAGGGAAAACUAUCUAUUUUUAUGCUUAGUUUCAAAGAAGUAUGGACAGUUGUGUAGAAAUGCGACUGAACACAGGGGUACAAUCUAACGUGAAGAGACAAAGUGGGGAAAUUCGGCAAGGCCCGCCUGUUUAGAUUCUUCUUGGUCUCUUUGUGCAGCAUUUCUUCCUUCCUGGUAUGGGGUGGGACCCCUCAGGAAUAAGGGAUUUAAUUUCUUUAUGGCCAGCUU
rnacentral:lncRNA from 1 species